GACGAACGCUGGCGGCGUGCUUAACACAUGCAAGUCGAACGGAAAGGCUCCAGCUUGCUGGUGUACUCGAGUGGCGAACGGGUGAGUAACACGUGGGUGAUCUGCCCUGCACUUCGGGAUAAGCCUGGGAAACUGGGUCUAGUACCGGAUAGGACCGCACUUUGGUGUGUGUGGUGGAAAGGUUUUUCUGGUGUGGGAUGAGCUCGCGGCCUAUCAGUUUGUUGGUGGGGUAAUGGCCUACCAAGACGGCGACGGGUAGCCGGCCUGAGAGGGUGGACGGUCACCUUGGGACUGAGAUACGGCCCAGACUCCUACUGGAGGCAGCAGUGGGGAAGAUUGAACAAGGGGGGAAGCCCUGAUGCAGCGACGCCGCGUGGGGGAUGAAGGCCUUCGGGUUGUAGACUCCUUUCGCUAGGGACGAAGCUUUUUGUGACGGUACCUGGAGAAGAAGCACCGGCUAACUACGUG
rnacentral:rRNA from 1 species